rnacentral:lncRNA from 1 species
AUUAUGGGUUGAAUGACUGAGAAACCGAUGCUGUAUGUUGUCUUGUUUGGCAUAAAUUACUGUCUGCUUGUUUGUAUGUAAAUUGAUGAUGCUGACUGAGGAAAAGUAUAAUGAAAGAUUAUGUAAAUUGAUAAUUGUAUAAUGUGGUCAGCCUGACUAGAUAUCCUGAGAGAUAGUGGACGGACCGGGUCCGUAGGGAACCCUACCGGGAUUGUGGUCUCUCAUACCGGACGGGGUAUGGAGACCUUAUGUGUUUUGGUGCCCAUACC